AUGAAUUAUUCGUGCCAUGUGAAUCAUUGCUGCUAUACUGCUACUAAUGGAUACAGGGAUGAAAUGCACAGUUUCCUGUCAAGUAGUGUUUGUUUGGUGACAGGAUGCUGUUUUUUCCUUCCAAGUAUAAUGCUCCUUUCAUGUAGUGAUGAUACUACAUCUAUUUCAUUUCAUGUUUAUGCCUCUUCCAGAAAAUGUGCUGCACCUACAAUAAUCAAUCUAACUUAUCCAUUUUAUUUUAUAGGCCUUCGAGUACAAGAGCUGCUGCUUGACUAUAACAGCGAAAAUGUGCAAUGUUGGAUUAAUGAUUGA
rnacentral:rRNA from 1 species